UUCCCGCUGUUGCUCCCCCCGAUCUAGAAACUUAGCCGAGCGAAGUCGUCGCCGCCGCCUUCGUCGAUCCCGCGGCCACCGGCCUCCCCUCCCCGCGCCAAGACAUCCAGGGGCUCCUCCAUCGUUGUCUCCUUUUCCCUCGCAUAAGAGCCCGAGCUAGGAGGCGCCGUACACUCGCCAUCGCUGUCAUCUUCGCCCAUAGCCGCCGCAUCUCGUCGUCGAGUUCUUCGUGUCCGGCCACCACCGUGCUCCCCGACCACGUCCACAAGCUCCGCGGUGAGCAUCUCCUCCGAUUCCCGGCUUUUACUCCGUUGAUUUGUUGCCGUAUCGUCAUCCCCAUGAGCUCGAGCGCCAUGGCCGAAACAUCUCGUCCGCGUGCGCGCCCACGUGUUCCUGGUCACGCCCUCGCCAGCCACCCACGCUCGCGCCCUCUGGUGCCUCCGCCCCGUGCCCGCGCGCCGGCCGCCCUACUGCGCGUCGCUCCGGCCGCCCGGUGCCUCCCGCUGCUAUACUACUGUUGCUUCUGUUGCCGUUGGCCACUACUCCUGUGCCGCUGGCAGCUACUGUCGCUUCGGCCUCCUGAUGCUGCCGCUGCGUUGCUUGCUCUGCCCACUGUCACUCCCGCUAGAAGCCGCCAUCGUUGCUGCUACUUGCCCGCAAGCCCCUGCCUACGCGCCGGCAGGGCCGCGCCCCGCGCCAUGCCCGCAACUGCGCCUCGUGUGUGCCUGCUCCUUGCGUGCCGCUGCACUGUUCCUUUGCUACUGCCUUGCUGCUACUUAGCUGCCACCGUUGCUCUUACUUCUGCUGCUGCUCAUUGCUUUGCCAUGGCCGUGGUGUUGUGCAGCGUAGUGUGUGUGUGUGCGUGAGUGUGUGUUCUGUGUGUGUGGCUGGCCCAAAUACUAGUUUAGGGACUAGUUUAGUUAGUUAGUCUAAUUAGUAGUAUUAGUUAAUUAGUCUAAUAGUAGGUGACAUGUGGACCCAUGGUUAGUUUAAAGAAAAAUAAAUUUUCAGAAAAGUCUAAGUCAAUGACAUGUAGCCCCUUACACUGUUCAUAUGUUGACUAUUCAACAUUUGACUGGGUCAACACAACCCCACUGGUCCCACUGUCAUACACUAUGGCUACAAUAGCACUAGGUGACAGAAGUAUUUUGUUGUUUUAUUUUCGAAUUAAAAGAAUUCUUUAAAUAUAUAAAAUCAUUUUAAACUUUGUAAAUUCAUAUAAAAUAAUCCGUAACUCGGAUGAAAAUAAUUUAUAUAUGAAAGUUGCUCAGAAAAAUCCAACAAAUCCGGAUACACGGUCCGUUCAUCUGUCACAUGCCCCUAGCACGCUGAACAUGGAACCGUCCCCUCUCUUUUCAUUUGUCCGAAAAACUUCAGACGCCGGGAAAACCCCUCCGGAUGUUUUCCUUCUCCGUCUGCAGCGUCUAGCAAUGUGUUAGUUCACCCCUAACAUCGUGUAUUACCAUGUUAUGCUUUAUGAUGCUUUGUUUGCUUUAUAUUUAUUGUUUCUUCCCCCUCUUCUCUCCUGUAGAUCCCGAGACCGAGGCUGCCCCUGUGAUCGACUACGUCGGCGAUGACACUUCUUUCUUUUCAGCAGAGCUUUCAAGCAAGCAAACCCUCCUUGAGCAUUCCGAUAUCGCCCAUUUAUUUCCCUCUCAUGCUUGCAUUAGAACUACUACUGCUUUCUGUAUGAUCCUACUCUGAUGCAUAGCCUGUUGUUGUUACCUGCUUUCAUACCUUACCUGCUUAUCCUAAACUGCUUAGUAUAGGUUGGUUAGUGAUCCAUCAGUGACCCCCACCUUGUCCCAGUUUCCCCGCUUUAUGUUCGAUGACUCGAUCAACGUGAUCGACGUCCAGGCCCCGACACCGCACAUCACCCCCCUAGUUGUACGACUCUGCAGAGUUACCAUUGAGUGCUGAGGGUGGAACCUCUUACAUCACUCCUGAUGAGAUCUCUGUAGUGUAGCUAUACGGUCGAGGUCAUCGAGGGUGAUUUCCUCCUUAACCACUUCCGUUACGGCUCUGUCGUGCAACCCCUCAAGUGUGAACCUCGAGGGUGGAUCCUCUUACGUUCACCUUGAUGAUAACAUCGACUGGAAUUCACCGGGGGUGAUUCCUCGGGUUUUCCCCUUGGUGUUAGACACACAGUUACUAUGGUUACUAUGACUUUGCAAUGAGCCAUGUUACUAAAGACGGGUCGGCCCUGAGGGGUACCCGCGCGAGCUUAAUUGCGAGUGAUGUGGAGUCGGGUUGACCUGGAAGGUGCCCGCAAGAUACUUACGAGGCAUGGCCGGGCAUUCUUAGCCCUUGCCGCAAGUACUCGAGACGGGGCGAUGGGGUCACAUCGAUCGUGAGUCUCUGCUCGUUACCGCGUGCUCCUAAUCCACUACGGUUUGGAUAUUUGAUCCGAGGGGCCUCUGGCCUGAUAGCACUAACCAUCACGUGGGCAUAGUAUGGGCGUUCUACGUCGUAUGCAUCAGCCGAAGCUUAAUAAACGUUAGCGACUGAGUGGCGCGCGCCGGGUUGGACUGCGUAAGCACCUGCCUUUUUGAAGGAGGUAGCUAGGUCUGCUCAUCGGCCACCCACGCAACGUGCAGGAGUUCCCGGGGCGAUGGACCAUGACCUCUGGGGGCAUAGGUUUAGUCCGGCAUGCUGGCCUCUCUAUUAAGCCUAGGUCGGGUUACGGCGUAUUGUUUGGCCAAGGCCGGGCAUGACCCAGGAAAGUGUGUCCGGUCGGAGUUAAUCGAAUGUGGUGGGUAAGUUGGUGCACCCCUGCAGGGAAGAAAACAUCUAUCGAUAGCCUGUCCUACGAUAACAGACACUUGGAGUUGUAUCCCGAUCGAUACAACUAGAACUGGAUACUUGUGAUGAGAAAUGGAUAUGAGAAAUGGAUAGUAUGGCUCUGGGAUUGCUUUCUUGGAGGGACUCAAGAAAGGAUCUCUGGCCGAGGUUGAUAACACUACUACUUUACAUUAUGUUGAUAUGUACUCUUCUAUAUGGUGCAAGAUGCUUGAAGAUGCUUGAAGAUGCUAGUCUUCGAUAGGCUAGGCUUUCCCCUUCUCUUCUGACAUUAUGCAGUUUAGUCCACAGAUACAGCUCAUUUCCUUUGAUAGAGAUGCAUACUUAGUUUAGAUCUGAUAUAAGUCUUGCGAGUACUUUGAAUGAGUACUCACAGUUGCUUUGCUACCUCUUUUUCUCCCAUACCUGUUUGUUGCGACCAGAUGAUGGAUCCCAAGAGCCAGACGACGCCACUGAUGACUACUACUACCCGGAGGAUGCCUACUACUAACUGAAGACCGCAGAUGACUAGGAGUAGUUAGGAGACUCCCAGGCAGGAGGCCUUACCUUUUCGAUCAUUGUUGCUUUUGUGCUAGCCUUCUUAAGGCAAUCUUGUCUAACUUAUGUUUGUACUCAGAUAUUGUUGCUUCCGCUGACUCUUGUGUAUUCGAGCUUAUGUAUUCGAGCCCUCGAGGCCAUUGGCUUGUAAUAUAAAGCUUAUAUUAUUUUAAUUUAUGUCUA
rnacentral:lncRNA from 1 species